GGAGGAGGUGUUGGAAGAGGAGGAGGAGGAGGUGGUGGUGGUGGUGGUGGUGGUGGAGGAAGAGGGGGACAUCGAGGAGGUGGGGGAGGAGGAGGAAGAGGAGGAGGAGGAGCGCCGUCGACUCCAUCUCAUUCUGAUGGGCAGGUUGGAGGAGGUCUUGAUCACGGAUAUGAAUUUAGCGGAUAUCCUAGUGAUUAAGAGGGAUAAAAGUCGGGAAACGGAGCAUGGUCCAUAUCAUAUCAACGGUCUCCUACAAUUGGAAAGCACAGAACGAAUUCCAAGUGUUUAUGGUGUUCCGCUUUGUAUUACUUUAUAGUCUAUUUACGAUUUUUUUGUUAUAAAAAUACAAAAUGUUCAUAAAUAUUUACCUUAUGUUCAAAAUAUGGAUCGUUUUAUUUAUCUUAAAUUGAAUAAUGAUCUGUUGCUUCAAUAAAGGCAUCCAUAGUUGGAA